UGAGAUCCUUUUUGCGCUAUCGACGCGAUUUGUCAGGAAAAAAACGGGACAUGGCGAGAGAUCUUUCCCGUCGGAGAUCUGGGAAAGCGGAGAAAAUGAGAGAGCACCGCCGAGAGUGCAGCCUGACUUGUUGCAACCCCCUCGCGAUCGUUAGCGUCAUCUCCGAGACGGACGGACACCUCUCUCGAAGGGGCGGCGACGUGGCGAGGGAAACGGAGGGAUUUUUACUCGGUUCCUGGCGAGAACGUGCACGGGGAGGCCGCAGCCGCGCGCGGCACGAAUAUAGACUUCACUCGAGGUGCCUUUUUUACGAAUGCCACGCCUCGCAUUUCUGCAUAAUCACGGCUGUUGUCAUUCCCCUUCUUACGCACGCCAACCACACCGCCGAGGCCCCCUUCCUUUAAUCCCCCUUGCAAUCUGCCUCCUGCCACGGCAGGACUCCCUCUUCUCCUUCCCUCUGCUUCUGCCCUCAGGAAUCAGAGCUGACUGUGCCCGCACAAUGUGGCUAGGUAGCGGGUGAACCGGUGCAUUAUCGAAUGCACCGCGUCCGGUAACGGUGAGAGCGAGCUCGGCCUGGCGGUCUUCACGGGGACCGUAAUCGAGCCAUGACUCGUUGUCACGGGCCCGUUGCGGUCCUUUCGCGCCAAUCUAUAAAUCGUGAGCCAAGCUGUGUUGUUUCAUUAUUCUGGUAAGACUAUGUGAGACUAAUUUAAUGGGACAGUAAGAAAUGAGGAUUCAGUUUGUAGACAGAGCUCUGCGCCAGGAAUGUGUUAAGAAUGAAUCUCCAUUGCACAUACAUAGACUUUCUUCAUUACGUGGAUAUACAUUUAUGUAUGCGGAGGAGAUUGUAAUGUUUGCAAAUUCUGGAGUGAUGCGGUAAUACCUGCGCGGCCCAUAUAAGACGAAUCUUCAUGCGAGCGCCGUUGGCAUUGUGACAGAGUGGAACAGCUCGAACUGGAAAAGAAUCACGUUAACGAUCACUUACGGAUCUCCGGCAUACACGCAGCCUAUAAUGGACUACAACGUGUGGCACUGAUUAUACGCUUCAUGGCCGACUCAUUAUCUUUAUUUGUCCUGCGAGUAAAGUCGCCAUGCCGGGCUCGACUCUAAGGCGUUCCUCCUUUAGAUCCGUUCGGCCGCCAAUCGGCACCGAUCGCUGUGAUCAUUAACGUUAAUGGCGAACCGCACGUCAAUCUCGUAAGAUAGCACAAGACCAGCUACGCGGAAAUGUUUAACAAUAUCGAAUCCACAGUGACGUAUAACACGUGUAAUCUCUUUCCGUUCUUACGAUGCACGAAAUGAUUCAGCUUCGAUCAUAGGGGAAUCAGCUUUUUCCGUUGCGCGCCGGUGAUCUCGACUGGCGUGACCUUGAGGAAUGGUAAACCGGCCGUGAUGCGAUGCGAUGCGAUGCAAUGCGGUGCGGCAGGUCCGCACCUAAAUACCAGAUCACUCGAGUGUGGAAAAAAUCGCCUGCGCGUGCUGCUCUGGGCGCGCCGCUCGAGUUUCUUCUCGUAAUUCACGGAAGGUUGCACAGGACUAACAAGAGUUCUCGCCACGUCCGCGCGUCCGAAUCUUCCUGCCGCGUGUCAAACUCUCUUCCUUCAAACGAAAUGCAUAUCGCAUAUUUCAUCGACAUGCAGGACUCCCCCAGAAUUGACGGGAAGAUGCGUAGUCGGCUCUUAUUGCACUCAAAUUUUUUUCUUUCAGACGAAAGUAGUUCGAAAAUCUGUUUUUUAGCUAUCUAUCUUUACAACUGUGUAGUAUAUUUAUUAUUUGAUGCUACAUUAGUCUUUAAAAGGAGGAAAGAUUAGUUUCUCACUUUUUAUAAUGAUGUUUUUCUUCUGAGUGACGUCUGUUAUGAGACACAUUCUACUUUACAAUUUUAGCCUGCUUUUUCAUACAGCUAGACCGAAAUUUGCAUUAUUUUGCAUCGAUGAAGGAAGAUGCUGAAGAGUCGCAGUUCACAUGACUCAUAUCGGCAGAAACUUACGUCAAGCCGUACGUUUCUAGUCGGAGCAUCGGGACAACAUUUCUCGGCAUAUUUAUAACACGGCACGGACUGAUUGAUUAUACAUUUGCGAAACAUGUGCAGCUGGCAACUGACUUGGAAAUGCAACGGUCGUCGUAGAUGAGGAACGACUCUAAGAAUCUGGAAUACUUUAAGUGACUUAUCAGUAUCCAUAUAGAUAAUUUUAAUUUGAAAACAACUCUGCCGCAUGUAUUUUGAAGAAGCUCGAAAUUAACGUAAAUAUGGCAUCGCUGUUAUAAUAUCACCGCUUAGCAUAAGCAAAUUAGAAUGCAAACUGGUUGUUUCAACCAAACAAUUUUCGUCCAGUUUCCUGCCACUUAGCUUUAAUGUGAUACCGUUGACUUGCUCAAUAAUCUGACAACCUUUUACAUACACGUUACGCAUAUUUCAAGCAUGGACUAAAUACUACAUUAACAUUAUAAAAUCGUAUUGCAUCUGGAAACGAAAUUGCACCUGUUAGAUCCAAAUGAAAACUGUCGCUAUCGUAAGAACUUGCUUACACAUGAUAUUAUAAAUUGAAUUCGCCAACAUAUCUUUGUCAAUAUAUUUUUAUCAUAUGCAUAUCGUCGCUUUCCUAGCUAGGAAACGAAAGAACGUAUUUGUACUUCGAAUGAUUUUGUGAUCCUCCUCACCGACGAAUGUACGGGGUUGUCUUUUGCAAAAGACUAUUACCUUCGACCUCGUCGCAUUACUGUUGCCUGUAAACGGUGGCGUCACGAAACUAGCACAUUAGAUAUUUUGCGGGUAAGCAAAGCGUGGUUUAAUCGCUGAGAAAAUCCGCUAGUAACAAUCGCAUCUCCGUCGGGCAUCAUGAUGCACGUCAUGCAACGUGUUUUUUGCAAUUUACUCUAAAGUAAUCAAGAAAGAUAACAUUACUGUGCGAUAAAUUAACCUGGUAACGACGGUCUAGAUAAAUAAACCACGUAAGUCAUUAUUAAAUUAAAUGUUAGUUAUAUUGAUCUAUAUUCAUAAUUCGCUUGAGUAAAAUCAGUUCGACUUUUGCUAUUUCGAGUUAAAAUAAACAGAAGAUAAUAAUUAAUCCAUGGAA
rnacentral:lncRNA from 1 species